rnacentral:rRNA from 1 species
GACGGGACCGCACAAGCGGUGGAUGAUGUGGAUUAAUUCGAUGCAACGCGAAACCCUUACCUACCCUUGACAUGUCCGGAAUCCUGCAGAGAUGCGGGAGUGCCGAAAGGGAAUCGGAACACAGGUGCUGCAUGGCUGUCGUCAGCUCGUGUCGUGAGAUGUUGGGUUAAGUCCCGCAACGAGCGCAACCCUUAUCAUUAGUUGCUACGCAAGGGCACUCUAAUGAGACUGCCGGUGACAAACCGGAGGAAGGUGGGGAUGACGUCAAGUCCUCAUGGCCCUUAUGGGUAGGGCUUCACACGUCAUACAAUGGUCGGUACAGAGGGUUGCCAAGCCGCGAGGUGGAGCCAAUCCCAGAAAGCCGAUCGUAGUCCGGAUUGUUCUCUGCAACUCGAGAGCAUGAAGUCGGAAUCGCUAGUAAUCGCGGAUCAGCAUGUCGCGGUGAAUACGUUCCCGGGUCUU